UACGAAGGGGGCUAGCGUUGCUCGGAAUGACUGGGCGUAAAGGGCGCGUAGGCGGAUGGCACAGUCAGAUGUGAAAUUCCCGGGCUUAACCUGGGGGCUGCAUUUGAUACGUGUGAUCUAGAGUGAGGAAGAGGGUCGUGGAAUUCCCAGUGUAGAGGUGAAAUUCGUAGAUAUUGGGAAGAACACCGGUGGCGAAGGCGGCUUCCUGGACCUGUUCUGACACUGAGGAGCGAAAGCGUGGGGAGCAAACAGG
rnacentral:rRNA from 1 species